rnacentral:sRNA from 1 species
GUGGCCCCGGUGGCCGAAUGGGUAAUGCGGCCACCUGGUAGCGCCUUGGCGUGGGGACCCAAGGCGCGUGGGUUCGAAACCCGCAGGGGACAACAUUACAUCCGGAGCCAACUUCUCAGCUCCUAAAAUAAUGGGAUGUGAACCUGCCAAGUAGGUACCUUCGGGCGGACCUACUACUUGAUUUAGCUGAUUUUUCCUGGGCUGGGAACCUGUAUUGCAUGUACCAAAUCCUGUCUUUCAUUAAUUUUCCUAUGUUCCUGUUAUAUUCUUGGCGUUGUUCAACACUAAGCAUUCCUCCUGUAUAACCAACUCUUGCCUGUAUUUAACAUCACACAAGGACUCGUCAUAAGCACUGCUUGCAUACGAGUAUAACGGAAGAAUAAUAAUAAUAAUAAUUGAACUGAAGUGGAGCC